GACCUGAUAGCACAAGGCAGUGCCUCUGCCUCGUUUGCGUCAUCAGAAAGUUUGACGGCAGAAGAUCCCGGUUCGAUUCCGGGUCGGGUCA